UGUCCAGGGGCGGGAAUCGAACCCACAACCUUCUGCUUACCGGGCAGGUGCCAUGUCCACUAGGCUACCAUGGAC
rnacentral:tRNA from 1 species